UGGGGAAUAUUGCACAAUGGGCGCAAGCCUGAUGCAGCCAUGCCGCGUGUAUGAAGAAGGCCUUCGGGUUGUAAAGUACUUUCAGUCGGGAGGAAGGUUUCAAGGUUAAUAACCUUGGCAAUUGACGUUACCGCCAGAAGAAGCACCGGCUAACUCCGUGCCAGCAGCCGCGGUAAUACGGAGGGUGCAAGCGUUAAUCGGAAUUACUGGGCGUAAAGCGCACGCAGGCGGUUGAUUGAGUCAGAUGUGAAAUCCCCGCGCUUAACCCGGGAAUUGCAUCUGAUACUGGUCAGCUAGAGUCUUGUAGAGGGGGGUAGAAUUCCAUGUGUAGCGGUGAAAUGCGUAGAGAUGUGGAGGAAUACCGGUGGCGAGGGCGGCCCCCUGGACAAAGACUGACGCUAAGGUGCGAAAGCGUGGGGAGCAAACAGG
rnacentral:rRNA from 1 species